UACGAAGGGGGCUAGCGUUACUCGGAUUGACUGGGCGUAAAGGGCGUGUAGGCGGCGUGACAAGUCGGGUGUGAAAGCCCUCAGCUCAACUGAGGAAGUGCGCCCCGAAACUGUCGUGCUUGAGUGUCGGAGAGGGUAGCGGAAUUCCCCAAGUAGAGGUGAAAUUCGUAGAUAUGGGGAGGAACACCGGUGGCGAAGGCGGCUACCUGGACGACUACUGACGCUGAGACGCGAAAGCGUGGGGAGCAAACAGG
rnacentral:rRNA from 1 species